CGGACGGGUGAGUAACGCGUGGAAAACCUGCCGUAUACUGGGGGAUAACACUUAGAGAUAGGUGCUAAUACCGCAUAAGCGCACAGCUUCGCAUGAAGCGGUGUGAAAAACUCUGGUGGUAUACGAUGGUUCCGCGUCUGAUUAGCUAGUUGGUGGGGUAAUGGCCUACCAAGGCAACGAUCAGUAGCCGGCCUGAGAGGGUGAACGGCCACAUUGGGACUGAGACACGGCCCAAACUCCUACGGAAGGCAGCAG
rnacentral:rRNA from 1 species